rnacentral:rRNA from 1 species
UAGAGUUUUAUCCUGGCUCAGAUUGAACGCUGGCGGCAGGCCUAACACAUGCAAGUCGAGCGGAUGAAGAGAGCUUGCUCUCUGAUUCAGCGGCGGACGGGUGAGUAAUGCCUAGGAAUCUGCCUGGUAGUGGGGGACAACGUCUCGAAAGGGACGCUAAUACCGCAUACGUCCUACGGGAGAAAGCAGGGGACCUUCGGGCCUUGCGCUAUCAGAUGAGCCUAGGUCGGAUUAGCUAGUUGGUGAGGUAAUGGCUCACCAAGGCGACGAUCCGUAACUGGUCUGAGAGGAUGAUCAGUCACACUGGAACUGAGACACGGUCCAGACUCCUACGGGAGGCAGCAGUGGGGAAUAUUGGACAAUGGGCGAAAGCCUGAUCCAGCCAUGCCGCGUGUGUGAAGAAGGUCUUCGGAUUGUAAAGCACUUUAAGUUGGGAGGAAGGGCAGUAAAUUAAUACUUUGCUGUUUUGACGUUACCGACAGAAUAAGCACCGGCUAACUCUGUGCCAGCAGCCGCGGUAAUACAGAGGGUGCAAGCGUUAAUCGGAAUUACUGGGCGUAAAGCGCGCGUAGGUGGUUUGUUAAGUUGGAUGUGAAAUCCCCGGGCUCAACCUGGGAACUGCAUUCAAAACUGACAAGCUAGAGUAUGGUAGAGGGUGGUGGAAUUUCCUGUGUAGCGGUGAAAUGCGUAGAUAUAGGAAGGAACACCAGUGGCGAAGGCGACCACCGGACGAUACGACACGAGGGCGAAAGCGGAGCACCA